CGAACACAGACGUCAGACAAGUAAAUUUUUUUAAAACUUUUCGCCUAUGAUCCAACACUUGUAACUAAAUCAAUGUAAAGACAGAUUUGUACAAACUAACUAAACAUACUAGUCCUGUAUAUACCACCAACAUUUAUUGAGUUAGACACUUUUAUAUAGCCCUAGAAACUAUCAGUUGUUUUCCAACAGAAAGAAGCUUAUAAAACGGUUUAAAAUUGAGGAUUAAUAAAAUUCUCUUUUGUGAGGAAGUCUGGCAUUCUUGGUAUGUACACAAUUUGAAGAAUGAACAAGUACUGUGUGUGACACAUCAUCAGAUGCAUCUUAGUUCUUCCCUUUUAAAUUUGAACUUAGAUUACCAGAUGUUAAUUAUGCAGAAGGCUAAGCAAAAUGAUGUGGAAAACAUUGGACAGGAAGGAAAAUUACGUUUUAAUUCCACACAUUAAGUUCAAGAAACAUAAACUAUGAGACCAAAAGAAGCCUAGCCCAGUCCCAUCCAACUUGCUCAAAAUCCUGCACUGGGUGAACAGAUUCGCCCCAGUGCCUACAGAGAACUAGUCACUUCAGUCUAGGAUGAAAAACAAUUUAAACGUUUAGCUGUCUGUGCCUUUGGCAUUAAGAAGCAUUACAUACAGAUGAUACAUCAGGAAUUUGGGUGUUUUCCCAACUGCUACGAAGCAGGCAUCGCUAUCAGCCCAGGAUCCAGAGCCCUACAGCCUUCCCGGCAGGGAAGUGCCAGCCAGGUGGCAGCUUUCCAGGUAGGAGCAAGCCCUCCUCUGUAGCAGGGCACCCUUGUCAGCAGUCAAGUAAUUGUGCCCAGCUGCUAGUGUUCAGGAAGCAGAAAUCCCAGUUCCCAAACUCUUUUUUAAGAGUCUUCAUCUUCACCUUGCAGUGCAGUGCUCUCAUCACCAAGCCAGGGUCACCAUCUCGUACCCCUGACUCUUUCACUUCUUUUUGCACAGAAAUGAAGCUUCAAGGGGUUACUGCUUGUCAGCUGCGCUGCAGUAACGUCCUGUGGGAAAACCUCCCCUUUACCUCAUGCAGAUUUGACAGUAGCCGUAUGUGUUACUGAAGACAAAGGGAAGACCUAAUUGCUGAAGUCAUAACGAUGUGGCCUCUUCUGAUACAUCUUCUGCCAGAUGCUUUGUUCCUUUUUAGGAGCCUGUUCCAUCUUCAGACAAGUACACAGAGAAGACAAAGAGGUGAUGGCAGAAUUUUAAAUUGAAAUCAGGGCUUUGACUACAUCAAAAGCAAAAGACUUUUUUUUCCUACUGCUUAUGUCUAUUGUUUAUAUUUUGACUCAAGAACUGUUCAUUUGAUAGCAAUAACCACAGGAAAAAAGUAGUUUUCACUGUGCCUUAAGAAAAACUACACUUCCAGAGUGUCAGGUGUCCUGGACUUCUGGAAUAGUUCUCUCAAUUUUCUAAAUCUGUGGGCCAAGAGACACAGUAUAAAAAAUAAAUGAUUAUAUAUAUAUAACAUUAUUUUUAUAUGAUAACUCAAUUACCCCUAGAAACCAUUGAAUGAUUCUUAACAGAAUCACACCUGUAUGCUGCCUAUAUAGGAUAUUUUCUGAUCCAACAGUGAUAUAAACUAUCACUGUUGCGGGUACCUUUUUUCCACUGACUAUAUGGAUGUGCAUCCAUGGCUGUGACUCCUGAGUAACAGGUUCCAAAUACGGAGAAUAGUGCAUGUAUAUCCAAGGACACAGCCUAGUAAAGACAGAGCCUGCUGGAUACAGUUUGUGAACUGGUUUGUUUUUUUUCCUUAAGUAACACCCCCUCUCUAAAGCCUCAGCUAACCUGUACAAUCACUGCUAUUUUUAGACAAGAUGGCCAAAGAUAAUUUUUAGAUACAAUGAUUAAAGAAAACAAAUGUUAUCUCCACACCACCCCCCACAUAAAUUGCAAGCUGUAAAUAUAAAUCAGUUUGCUUCUAGAGAAGGAAGAAAAAAAUGCUGCUUUUGAACAGCUGGGCUCAGUAAGAGAUUGGUUUCCCCAUUGACUGUACUUUCCCUGCAGCCCUCAAAGCAGAUUCUGUGCUCUAAGUGCAGUAGAUACUUACAGCACUCUAUAAAUAAAUGCUACUAUGUGCAAC